rnacentral:rRNA from 1 species
CACGUAGUUAGCCGGGGCUUCUUAGUUAGGUACCGUCAUUCUCUUCCCUGCUGAUAGAGCUUUACAUACCGAAAUACUUCUUCACUCACGCGGCGUUGCUGCGUCAGGGUUUCCCCCAUUGUGCAAUAUUCCCCACUGCUGCCUCCCGUAGGAGUUUGGGCCGUGUCUCAGUCCCAAUGUGGCCGGCCACCCUCUCAGGUCGGCUACUGAUCGUCGCCUUGGUGGGCCGUUACCCCGCCAACCAGCUAAUCAGACGCGGGUCCAUCUCAUACCACCUCGGUUUUUCACACUGGACCAUGCAGUCCCGUGCGCUUAUGCGGUAUUAGCAGUCAUUUCUAACUGUUAUCCCCCUGUACUGAGGCAGGUUACCCACGCGUUACUCACCCGGUCCGCCGCUAAGUCAGCAAAGCUUCUUCCGAAGAAAUCCACUUACCGCUUCGCUCGACUUGCUAUGUAGUUAGCACGCCGCCCAGCCGUUCAUCCUGACGCCAGGAUACAAACUCU